UUUCGAUCAGUUGUUUUGUUUAGGUUUUCGUUUCGUUGUUUUGUUUUGAUCUUGCUACCAAAUUGCAAUUUCUCAUUCUAUUUCUUAUCGAUUAAAUGGUUGGAGAAUGAGAGACUUUAAUUAAUUAAUAAAAGUCUUGUUUUCUCAUCAUUCUCUGAUAUUAGUAUUUUCAUUUGUUACUUACCAAUUUAUGUUGUUAUUUUAUUAGCUAAGUAUUAACUUUUUUCGUGACCUCACUCAAAGAAAAAGUAUCAUUCUAUGAUUAAAAAUAUUGAAUAUUUAUUUUGUGUGACAACUGACAACAAUCUCCAACUGUAAGUUAGUGUUACUAAAAAGUUAUGGUUUUACAGCCACCUUCCACUGAAAACGACACAAUGAGGUUCUUAUCCAAGCCUACUGCAUUAUUUCAAAACUAAUAUAUUAAGCUAACUUACAGGUAGCAUUUUAUAAAAGAAAUGAUUCUUAAAUUGGUUACAUUUGAUGCAACUGGAACUCUUCUCCAAUUUAGAGGAACUGUUGGAAGCCAUUAUGCAAAAAUCGCAUCUAAAUACAGUGUUAAUGUACAACCUCGCACGCUGACAAAAAACUUUCCUUUGGUUUUUAAGAGAAUGUUAAUUGAACAUCCAAAUUUUGGAGCUAACAACGGGAUAGGUUGGCAACAUUGGUGGGAACAGUUGGUGUCUAGAGUUAUCAAGGAUUCACUGCCUGGAAGUGUCUCAAUAGAAUCAUCGACUGUUAACAAAAUAUCUUCAGAUUUAAUAGAAAUUUAUUCAACAAAAGAAUGUUGGAAGUUAGCUGACGGGGCAGAGCGGUUGUUGGAAGAACUGAGUGGUAGAAAGUUUCGUUUAGGAGUGAUCUCUAACAGUGACCCAAGACUCGGGACUAUUUUACAAGACCUUAAUAUAAAACAUUAUUUUGAUUUUGUGACAGUCUCGUUCUCAGUAAAUUGUGAGAAACCAGACAGUGCUAUUUUCAAAGCUGUGGAAGACAUGAAUGUUGGAAUAAAAAAGUGUGAAAUAUUGCACAUCGGUGACAACCCCAAAUUAGACUUCAUGGGAGCCAGAAAUGUUGGUUGGAACGCACUUCUUGUUGCUAACAACUCCAAAGUAUUGAAUGAUUUUCCAUCGAUUGAAAAGGAUUGGGUUGUUGAUAGUAUUGAUGAAAUAUACCAAGUACUUGAAAACAAAAACAUAAUUUAAUUACUGUUUGAUGAGUAUAUUUGAGAAAAUAACUAAACACAUGAUUGUUUACAUUUGAAGAAGCUUGUCAGCCCUGUCAACUACAGUUAUCCAUCGAUAGUCUGACUUUUUAAAUCUGGUGUACUAAUGUACUAUAAGCAUUGGCCAAUGGUGAUUCAGCAAAGGAUAACGAAUUUGAAUCUGGGCAGUGAAUCAGAGGAAGACAAAUUGGACGGAAAACUCAGAUUUCACUUGAUAUGCAACAAUAUUGACAGGCUGAUAGAGAUUUUCUGAAAAGGUGUAACAAACUUACAUGAACUUUUAAGAUAAAAAGGUUCUACUGAUAAACCAAAUUCUAUACUCACCGGAAGCAAAAAAAAACCCCUGAACGAUAUUGGAAUGGCGAAAACAUAUCAUUCUUCCUGAACUACAUUCACCACAAGAAAUGAUUAGAACUGGAACUAAAUGACUGAAAAUUACUUGCGUCCGCCAUCAAAGUGAAAUCACUAGACGAUUUACGGAAAGUAAAAUAAAAUUAUAAAAAAAAUACUUAUCUGGUUAAGAAGUUAUUAUUAUGAUUUAGUAUAGAAAAAGAAAGAAAACUUUGC